CACGUAGGGGCCAAGCGUUGUCCGGAUUUAUUGGGCGUAAAGAGCUCGUAGGCGGUUCGACAAGUCGGGUGUGAAAACGUCCGGGCUCAACCCGGAGACGCCACCCGAUACUGUCGUGACUGGAGUCCGGUAGGGGAGUGGGGAAUUCCUGGUGUAGCGGUGAAAUGCGCAGAUAUCAGGAGGAACACCGGUGGCGAAGGCGCCACUCUGGGCCGGAUACUGACGCUGGAGGAGCGAAAGCGUGGGUAGCAAACAGG
rnacentral:rRNA from 1 species